UACGUAGGGUGCGAGCGUUAAUCGGAAUUACUGGGCGUAAAGCGCACGUAGGUGGCGACGUAAGUCGGGUGUGAAAGCCCCGGGCUCAACCUGGGAAUUGCAUUCGAGACUGCAUUGCUGGAGUACGGAAGAGGAGGGCGGAAUUCCCGGUGUAGCGGUGAAAUGCGUAGAGAUCGGAAAGAACACCCGUGGCGAAGGCGGCUUUCUGGACCAAAACUGACGCUGAGGCGCGAAAGCGUGGGGAGCAAACAGG
rnacentral:rRNA from 1 species